CCUACGGGAGGCAGCAGUGGGGGAUAUUGCACAAUGGGGGAAACCCUGAUGCAGCAACGCCGCGUGAGUGAAGAAGUAUUUCGGUAUGUAAAGCUCUAUCAGCAGGGAAGAGAAUGACGGUACCUGACCUAGAAGCCACGUAUCACUACGUGCAAGCAGCCGCGGUUACACGGAGGGGGCGAGCGUUAUCCGGAUUUACUGGGUGUAAAGGGAGCGUAGACGGCUGGUCAAGUCUGGAGUGAAAGACCGGGGCUUAACCCCGGAACGGCAGUUGAAACUGGGCAGUUAGAGUGCUGGAGAGGUAAGCGGAAUUCGUAGUGUAGCGGUGAAAUGCGUAGAUAUUAGGAAGAACACCGGUGGCGAAGGCGGCUUACUGGACAGUAACUGACGUUGAGGCUCGAAAGCGUGGGGAGCAAACAGGAUUAGAUACCCGAGUAGUC
rnacentral:rRNA from 1 species